AUUACGUUAUUGUAAUCUUUUUAUUGUUUGUUUUUUAUUUUUAGAAUUGUAGAAUAUCUUUGUGCGAAGCGACUGCGAUUCUCUCGUUAUGCUAGUAUGCUCUAUACAAAUUGAUAAUAAAUUAAUUUAUAAUUUAUUAAAAUAAAUCCUAAAAAAAACUGAUUGCAGAAAUCGCAGGUUAUUCCGCACGCGCGCCAAAACAAAGAGCCAGAUAGCGGCGCUUAGGCAGGCUAUAGCUUAUAGCCAUGGAGCUCCCUCCCUCCCCUCCCCUUUUACCCUGAUAUUUCCCACGGGUCUUUGCAGGUGUCGUGUCCUCGCUGCCAUUUUGCAUGUGGGCAAGGAACGUGCUACAGCGACGUUCAAAGAGCAUAGUUAGUAAAGUAGUUUGUCUCCUCUACUAACUAUGGUCAGAGACAGGAGGAGGAAUGAGGAGACGUUUGGCUUGUUGAUUAAUGCGGUGCUCUGCGGGAUGCAGAUCAGAUGCCAACAGGGACAAAGUGGACUAAAUCUUCAAGCAUUUAUCUUAAGAAGGGCUGCAUGUUCUAUUUUGCAAUCCAAC